UACUAUAAACUACUGAAGAAACAUAAUAGCACCACUGUGCUACUUUUUUUUUUUUUUGCUUUAAAUAAAUGGCAAAAUUUACAUUACUAUUAGUGUAAUGUAAGCUUGUUCUUUCCAUUCCUUUCUCUAAAUAUAAUUAGAGCUACACUGAAGUAUGAAAGCAUCUUGGCACUCAAUGCAUGACUUAUUUCAAUCAAUUGUUCACAGAUUGGAACCAUUGUUGACAAUCCAGCUGAUUUCUACCAUUCACGAAUUCCCAAGAAGCAAAGGAAAAGAACUAUUGUGGAAGAACUGCUGGCUGAUUCUGAAUUCAGAAGAUACAACCGAAGGAAGUACUCAGAGAUCAUGGCUGAAAAAGCAGCAAAUGCAGCAGGAAAAAAGUUCCGAAAGAAGAAGAAAUUUCGCAAUUAAGAUUUACCAAGCAAACUGCAACAUUUUACAUCGCUCCUUUAUUUACUUAUUAAAGACAUUUGGAAAACUAA
rnacentral:sRNA from 1 species